UGGCGGACGGGUGAGUAACGCGUGGGUAACCUGCCUCAUACAGGGGGAUAACAGUUAGAAAUGACUGCUAAUACCGCAUAAGACCACGGAGCCGCAUGGCUCAGUGGGAAAAACUCCGGUGGUAUGAGAUGGACCCGCGUCUGAUUAGGUAGUUGGUGGGGUAACGGCCUACCAAGCCAACGAUCAGUAGCCGACCUGAGAGGGUGACCGGCCACAUUGGGACUGAGACACGGCCAA
rnacentral:rRNA from 1 species